AUUGGAGACUGGACAGAGAUGGCAGCUUCGCACGGUUCAGCCUGGGACUAUGCGCAAAAACAGGGGCAGACAGAGGGCCCAGAAUGUGAAUCCCAGAGUGGCUGCUUGGAGUCAAGGGCUCCAGAGCUGGACAAGCCGGGUUCAAAUCCUGCCUCUGCUGCUCCACCAGGAGCAUAUUUCUCAAAUUUGACUAGCCACAGUGACUGCGUCUGCAAAACGGCCUGAUGAUAACAACUGUACUUACGUCAUAGGGCUGUUGGGCGGACACACUGCAAGGAUGCCCGUAAGCUCUUGGUUCACAGUCAGCACUCAGUGAGUAUCGCCACUAUCAUGGGGAAUUCUGCAUCGAUGCAGACUGCGUUAUUUGGAAAAUUUAAUGGUGUGAGACAAUGUCUAUUAUGCAACAUUAAAUGAAAAAGCAGGCCCCAGAGAGGCUUGCUUUAUUUUUGUGUACGUAGAAACAGGGAGGGAGGGCUUCAAAACGGUAGUAAUUUCGAGUACUAGGAUUAUAGGUGAUUUUAAUUUUCCACCUUAUAAUUUUCUGAAUUUUCCAAAUUUUCCAUUGUCGGCAUGUACUAAUUUAAAAAUCAGAGCAGGAUAAUUUAUUUUAAAAAGUUAAGUUCCUAGUCUUACAGAAAAAAUUUUAUCUUUAAAGCUCCCCCCACAACCCAGCCAAACACUUUCCACAGAAGCCCUGGCCGCAGAAGUUCCCACCUGUCUUGAAUUCUCAAGGCUGUGCUGAGGGCAGACCCCUGGGCACCAGGCUCUCUGGGAUCUCUGAGCAGCCGGGUCUCAGGACUUCCCAAUCCAGUCCCCAAACCCAAUUGCCCUUAGCUGCCAGUGGGUCCCACCAGGGCACAAGUCACUCCCUCGCUCAAGCCAAAGGAGAGAGGAGAGGCUCCCAGGCCCCUCCUGCCCACUGCCCAGGGCAGAGGUGGGAGGACCCUUCUGCUGACCCUGAUGCCGCAGAAAGUCCUCAGACUUUUUUGCUGGCACAGGCAGAGGACUACAGCUCGAUUCUUC
rnacentral:lncRNA from 1 species